AUUGAACGCUGGCGGCAGGCUUAACACAUGCAAGUCGAGCGAGCGGCGGACGGGUGAGUAAUGUCUGGGACACUGCCUGAUGGAGGGGGAUAACUACUGGAAACGGUAUCUAAUACCGUAUACUCUCAGAUGUGCCCAGAUGGGAUUAGCUAGUAGGUGGGGUAAUGGCUCACCUAGGCGACGCUCCCUAGCUGGUCUGAGAGGAUGACCAGCCACACUGGAACUGAGACACGGUCCAGACUCCUACGGGAGGCAGCAGUGGGGAAUAUUGCACAAUGGGCGCAAGCCUGAUGCAGCCAUGCCGCGUGUGUGAAGAAGGCCUUCGGGUUGUAAAGCACUUUCAGCGAGGAGGCGUUACUCGCAGAAGAAGCACCGGCUAACUCCGUGCCAGCAGCCGCGGUAAUUC
rnacentral:rRNA from 1 species